GAAGGGGAAGAAAAGAGAAUCGUGAGAUUUUGCAAUCAAACUCAUACCCCUCCUAACUCUCCGCUCAUGUAUGUAUAUUUUGUUCAACUUCAACCCCACAAUCCACAUGAUCAUGAUGACGAUGCCCAUGUCUUUCUCUCUCUUCUUCUCUUACACUCUUCUCAUAGUUUCCUCUUUCUUCCUUCCAAUCAAAUUCAUCCACUUCUAAUCAGACAAAAACCUCAGUGGUUAUAAGUCCAUUCGUUUCUUCCACUUCUACACAAUUUUCGACACAACAAAUUAACACCUUUUUUCUGCUCAUUCUCACUGCCACAAUCACUUUUCCCAACUAAUCCUCAAAUUCAAGAACCUGGGUCAUGGUUCACGGGUGCUGUAUAGUUUAAUAGCCUCAGCUGUGCCCCAUUCUAUACGCAACUUUUUACGCUCAAACCUCAACAUAUAUAUUGUUACAUACCUUCUUUUCCUCCUUCAUUUUUUUUUUUCUCUUGGAAAGUGAUGGAAAUGAAAGAAAUUCCGGAGUUGAAUUUGGGUGGUUCUUCUUCUUCCGAGGCUUUGGAAUCAGAACAGAAGAAGAACAUGAGUAAUCAGAGAAUCUCGGUUUCGGAUCAUA